rnacentral:piRNA from 1 species
UGAAAGCAAUGAGGCACUGUAGUGAA